GAUGAACGCUGGCGGCGUGCCUAACACAUGCAAGUCGAACGAAGCACCUUACCUGAUUCUUCGGAUGAAAGUUUGGUGACUGAGUGGCGGACGGGUGAGUAACGCGUGGGUAACCUGCCCUGUACAGGGGGAUAACAGCUGGAAACAGCUGCUAAUACCGCAUAAGCGCACGAGGAGACAUCUCCUUGUGUGAAAAACUCCGGUGGUACAGGAUGGGCCCGCGUCUGAUUAGCUGGUUGGCAGGGUAACGGCCUACCAAGGCAACGAUCAGUAGCCGGUCUGAGAGGAUGAACGGCCACAUUGGAACUGAGACACGGUCCAAACUCCUACGGGAGGCAGCAGUGGGGAAUAUUGCACAAUGGGGGAAACCCUGAUGCAGCAACGCCGCGUGAGUGAAGAAGUAUUUCGGUAUGUAAAGCUCUAUCAGCAGGGAAGAUAAUGACGGUACCUGACUAAGAAGCUCCGGCUAAAUACGUG
rnacentral:rRNA from 1 species